rnacentral:lncRNA from 1 species
AUAUUCUUUCAACAGCUGCCUUAAUGUGCUGGGAAUGCGGUGACCGAUGCACUAUCAAUAACACAACUGACUGUCCUGCCUGAUUUAUUUUGCAGUUAUCCUGGAGAAAUCACUUUGUGGUUACGACUCAGCAAAUGUUGAGGAACGUACCUCUUGCCAAAAUUACUAAACCUGAAACUGGCUUGCUACUCAGCAGAAAGAAGAAAAAACAGGCAGCUGAAGUAUGCUGGAAACAGUAUCCAUUUGGGAUUGCAGGAAAAAUCAAGUGAAGGAUAAAAAGUAGUCUGCAAACAAAUCAGGCAUAUUAAGGGUCAUGCAAUGCAUCAAACUAGAAAAAGGGAUUCCCCCAAAGCAAGCAUGAUUUUAAGUGGAAAACUUCCUUCAGGAAAUGGGAGGGCACCUGAGCAUUUUGCAGACCUGAGAUUGCAUCCAAAUGCCUUUGCAAGGAUCCAGGCAAAAAGACUUUCCUUCUGUCCUUUCCAGUGAGACUUCAGCGGGUGUGAUCCUGAGUUCUCACAGUUGGAGUUGAGCUCUUCAUGCACCUAUUGCAUAUGGAUCAGUGAAUGAUGCUGCAGAUUUGCUUUCAGCUAUGGAAUUUACUAACUUGCAUAGUAAAAAGAGCACUGUAC